rnacentral:rRNA from 1 species
AGCAGCCGCGGUAAUUCCAGCUCCAAUAGCGUAUAUUAAAGUUGUUGCAGUUAAAAAGCUCGUAGUCGAAUUUCGGGGUUAGUAGGUUGGUCAUGCCUCUGGUAUGUACUGGUCUCACUGAUUCCUCCUUCCUGAUGAACCGUAAUGCCAUUAAUUUGGUGUUGCGGGGAAUUUGGACUGUUACUUUGAAAAAAUUAGAGUGUUUAAAGCAAGCUAACGCUUGAAUACAUUAGCAUGGAAUAAUGAAAUAGGACGUUCGAUCCUAUUUUGUUGGUUUCUAGGAUUGACGUAAUGAUUAAUAGGGAUAGUUGGGGGCAUUAGUAUUCAAUUGUCAGAGGUGAAAUUCUUGGAUUUAUUGAAGACUAACUACUGCGAAAGCAUUUGCCAAGGAUGUUUUCAUUAAUCAAGAACGAAAGUUAGGGGAUCGAAGACGAUCAGAUACCGUCGUAGUCUUAACCAUAAACUAUGCCGACUAGGGAUCGGAUGAUGUUAAUUUUUUAAUGACUCA